rnacentral:rRNA from 1 species
CCUACGGGGGGCUGCAGUGGGGAAUAUUGGACAAUGGGGGGAACCCUGAUCCAGCCAUGCCGCGUGUGUGAAGAAGGCCCUCGGGUUGUAAAGCACUUUCAGUGAGGAAGAACGCCUGGUGGUUAAUACCCAUCAGGAAAGACAUCACUCACAGAAGAAGCACCGGCUAACUCCGUGCCAGCAGCCGCGGUAAUACGGAGGGUGCGAGCGUUAAUCGGAAUUACUGGGCGUAAAGCGCGCGUAGGUGGCUUGAUAAGCCGGUUGUGAAAGCCCCGGGCUCAACCUGGGAACGGCAUCCGGAACUGGCAAGCUAGAGUGCAGGAGAGGAAGGUAGAAUUCCCGGUGUAGCGGUGAAAUGCGUAGAGAUCGGGAGGAAUACCAGUGGCGAAGGCGGCCUUCUGGACUGAGACUGACACUGAGGUGCGAAAGCGUGGGUAGCAAACAGGAUUAGAUACCCGAGUAGUC